GCCCUUCCUCCCUGACUGUUCCACCUGCCUGCAGUCUGAUUGCAGCAAUGAGAAUCAGCUGCCGUAAUUGGCUCACGCCAGUCACCUGUUUGCAAUUCCACCUCCCAGCAUAUAAGCCAGCUCUGUCAUUCACUCCCUGCUCCACCAUGGAUGCGCACAUCCUGCGUUGACUCGUGACCACCAGAGCUUCUUGGACACGACGCUGCCCUUGUACCUCUGCCGGUUCCUGUUUGGGUUUCCUACCCACCCCUUCAGCUGAGUUUCUUCCCGUGCUUUCAGCCCUUCCUCCCUGACUGUUCCACCUGCCUGCAGUCUGAUUGCAGCAAUGAGAAUCAGCUGCCGUAAUUGGCUCACACCAGUCACCUGUUUGCAAUUCCACCUCCCAGCAUAUAAGCCAGCUCUGUCAUUCACUCCCUGCUCCACCAUGGACGCGCACAUCCUGCAUCGACUCGUGACCACCAGAGCUUCUUGGACACGACGCUGCCCUUGUACCCCUGCCGGUUCCUGUUUGGGUUUCCUACCUUACCCCUUCAGCUGAGUUUCUUCCCGUGACCAACUGCUACAAAGCAUUACCGGGUAACAAAUACACCUGAUGAAGAUCAGAAAUAUUCAAGCAGAAACCUUCAGCUUCCACAAAGGUGGAAUUCAUUCUGCCAUGAAGACCUAACAACCUUCAAAGACAAUUUGAAAAUGGGAAGAAGCGCUGCGUCACUCUGCGAAGCGCUGCGUCACUCUGCGAAGCGCUGCGUCACUCUGCGAAGCGCUGCGUCACUCUGCGAAGCGCUGCGUCACUCAACUCAACUCAACUCAACUCAACUCAACUCAACUCAACUCAACUCAACUCAACUCAACUCAACUCAACUCAACUCAACUCAACUCAACUCAACUCAACUCAACUCAACUCAACUCAACUCAACUCAACUCAA